AAUAGGUGUUGUAUAUUGGUUUGGUAUGGUUUCAAAUCCACUUUUUAAUACUCAGGUGAAGUUGUUUUCAUCUAAGGGUGAAUUUUUUUACAUUGAGGAAGGUGUGUUGGGAUGUUGUUAUCAACAUCUGUUAAUUGUCAAGAAGUACUCAGUAGCUCAACUGUUAACAGGUGCUGCUAAGAACGUAUCAGUAAGAACAUAUGGAAGAGGAGCUAUGACAAAAUUGAUAUUUAAACUUUAAAUAUCAAGAAUUUGCGAGGACUUACCAAGUGUUCAGUCUGGGCAAGACUACCCUUUGCUGAUCUAAAUAGCUUUCCAACAACUGUGGGCCAUUUGUUUCUGCUACAGCAAGGCAACUUUUUUCCAGUAGUGGUGAAAAUUGUGCAGCGGCCCCUUGAAGGAAAUCAUCCUGCCCACCAGAACUGGCAGCUUCAUUUCCCUAGCAACCUGCUCCAGCAACAAGGGUCUUUUGCUCUGGCUCUCGCAGCAUUUGGUUGGCAAAGCCGACUCUUCGGAGAACCAACUUGUUGAAAGGAAUUGUACUAGCCUUCAGGAAAGAAAGUGCAUAUGCAUCCCUGGAAAAGUACAUUGUGAAACUAUGGAAUUACCAAAACUACAGAACAAAUAAGAUUGCAAAGCUCAGUGACAUUUGACUCUGCUCUUUUGCUGACUGGAUCAUGGAAUGCAGAAGGCAUGUAUGUAUCAUUACGUGCAUCUCUGAGUGAUGGGCCAUGGCAUCAUGUCACAUCAUGGGGAAAAGAAAGUCAAUCCGGCAGGAUUGUUUUGAAUGAGAAGAAAAAAGGAAGGAAGUCAUGUCAGCAAAUUAGGAACAAUGUGAUUAGAACCAGCCAUGACUUUGAAACUCUCAGUUUGCUGGCAGAAGCAGCAAAGAAAUAGACAACUCAUUUAAUCAUGGAUGCACCUGAACAGCCCUUUACUCAAGAUGGAAACAGGUGGGGAAAGUUACAGAGGCCUCCUGGAAUAUGCAACACCUGAGUUACAUCUUGAACAAUGAGCAGAAAUUCCCUGAAGGAGGAAGAAGGGGUAUAAGAGGAAAUGGAGAAUUCAGACAGAAACAACAGCCUGGCUAAAGACCAGGAACAAAGGAUGGCUUGGAAUUUACACACUGUAAGUAGUUCACUUUGGCGGGAGCACAAUUUAAGUGGGUUUUGGGUGCAGAGUCAUCGAGCUGGGUUACAUAACAACACAUUGUGCUUAUUACAUGGUGGAUAUUUAUGGGAGGAAAGCAGAACUGACUUCGCAGAUAAUGGGUUACUUUAUCUUUCAGAGCCAAGUUUUACCGUGGGGUUUUUUUUUGUU